GACGAACGCUGGCGGCAUGCCUAAUACAUGCAAGUCGAGCGAACAGAUGAAGUGCUUGCACUUCUGACGUUAGCGGCGAACGGGUGAGUAACACGUAAGGAAUCUACCUAUAAGCGGGGGAUAACAUUCGGAAACGGGUGCUAAUACCGCAUAAUAUCUUCUUCCGCAUGGAAGAAGACUGAAAGACGGCUCUGCUGUCACUUAUAGAUGACCUUGCGGUGCAUUAGUUAGUUGGUGGGGUAAUGGCCUACCAAGACAAUGAUGCAUAGCCGACCUGAGGGGGUGAUCGGCCACAUUGGGACUGAGACACGGCCCAAACUCCUACGGGAGGCAGCAGGAGGGAAUCUUCCGCAAUGGGCGAAAGCCUGACGGAGCAAUGCCGCGUGAGUGAAGAAGGCCUUCGGGUCGUAAAACUCUGUUAUAAGAGAAGAACAAAUUGUAGAGUGACUGCUACAGUCUUGACGGUAUCUUAUCAGAAAGCCACGGCUAACUACGUGCCAGCCGCCGCGGUAA
rnacentral:rRNA from 1 species